CCUCUGGCAACUAGCUCGGUACAAGAUCUGACAGAUUAUUGCAAUCUGGAGGCCAGUUUAUUCAGAGUGGAGGUAUCUAUAUGAGACAAUCCAAGAACUAGCUUCUUUCUAAUCAGAGUUAAUCUUGGGUAAAAGGAGAUAAAUUGGGCUUUGACUUUUCACACUAAAAAGCCAGAAUGUAUUACAUUUGUUAAAAUAUGCGUGGCACAUUAACUUUAGUCCAGAAAAAACAUAGCUCAUUUUAAAUAAAUAUGUGCACAGUUUCAGCAAGAGGAUGAUGAAGAUUUCUCAGUUCUUUGUACUUCGAAAAAGAAAAAAAUGAAAAGCGUCUUACUCUUGGUGACUAUGUGUAGGCUCAUACCAGAUUAUUCUGAUUGCUCAAGUUGUCAUCUUUCUUGCAAACAACUUCCAGGGACAAAAUCAAGAAAUGUCUGGAAAGAAAUAUCUCAUCAUCUUCCAUCAAAGUGGAACGAAGUUGCCUAUACAUGAAUCGCCCUGUGACUAUCUGGGUAUCUGUGAUUUACUCCGCUGAGAGCUGUGUGAAAACAAAGAAUAUCUCCUUUAUACCAAGCAAAGCAGUGAAAUGUGGUUCACCCUCCAACAUAAAUGCUCACCAAGUAUCAAACAAAUUUGUAAUUAAGUGGGACCCACCAAAAACUUAUAUGCAAUAUGAACUGCGAUAUAAGGAGGUGCUUCCAGCAUCUUCAGAAUGGAU